rnacentral:lncRNA from 1 species
UCAAAAUAUUACAUUCAAAAUGCCUUUUCGCAUUUGCCAAAUGUUCAAAGAGUCAAUAGAAAACAAAUGCAUGUGUAACCUUUUCUUUUCUAGCUAGCAUGCGAUAACAUUUAUACUUAGCAUCAACUCUUUUAUCGAGUCAGCCCUGUACCCUACUGGAAUUUCAGCCAGCUAAUUAUUUGGUCCCAAACCAAGGUGGCAAAAGAGCAAAUUAUUAAAACAUAAUCUGCAAUCUCUUUUGAUGACCUGCACAUCUUGCAAAAGGAUGAUUGUAAUGUCGUAUCUCUCGCCCUCUAUGCCACAGCUGUUGGAAUAUCCUAGAUAAAAUCGUUCUCUGGGGUGUUCGUAUCCAGUUGUCUUUCCAAUUGUUGCCUGACCUGUUUUACCCAAAAGCUCGUGUCCACAUCAGCCUUCCAGCACAUAACUAAAAAAACAAGUUGUUAUAGAACGACCUAAUUAAUGAGCAGCAAAUUCAUAAAUAUGACAAAGUGGUCUAAGCUUGAGAAAAGAAAAAAAUACAGUUCAAAAGCUUUAAGUAAUAAAUGCAAAAUUACAUAUAUGGAGAGUGAGAAUGGAAAAACAAUGGACUAAAUCACACAGAUAAAAUGUGGUGGGUUUGGGUUUGUAUCCAUUCAUAUAUAAAAUAAAAGGCAAAAUUUCCCACCUUUAGCCAUAAUGUAAAACGUCCAAGUUACCUGCAAGUGAUACGUAUAUGCCAAGCCAGCAUACAUGCUUAAGCAUCUUGUUGAUAAUGCAAGAGCCUUUUAGUAAUAUGUGAUUGCUUUACCGUAGCUCCUGAUGCAGAGUAAUACAAAAAGUAGCAUAAAAGUGUUAAAAUAGUCACUAAGUAGACAUACUUCAACUUUCUUAGAUGCAACCCAGGGGCGCUGCUACAAACCGCCAUCAGAAGCCAAGCCAAGACGAAUUUUUACUAACAAACCCCUAACAAAGCCGUUUCUUACUCACGAAGAGGCCAUACACCUUCAAAAAUGAAACAAAAACACAUAAUAUAAGUAGGUAACCUGUCAUAUGUAGCCCUUGAUGCUUUCUCAGGUCCAUGUGUUGGGACGCUAAUAUAAUAAAAGAACAGGCCUUGUUUUGCCCUGUACCAUUAGAAAAAAAAAGCUUUUAGUAACACCUCAUCACAAAUCUUAUACGAUGUUUGCUCUGAGCUGCUUUUCAUCAACUAAAAUUUGACUGAAUUAAGGGGCUGUUUGUGUUAUGACAGAUUGAUGUUAAAAAACUAAAUUGAUAAAAUAAAUAUAAAAAAGACAAUGCCCAUACCAUAUGCCUGCCAACUCGUGCAGCUUGUUUCAUGACUUAAACCGAAUUGACUGUCCAUAGAUAAACAGGUUUAACAUUUCCAUAAAAGUAUAUAAUGCAUAUAUCUGAUCCGGUAAAUAUUGUAGGUGCCUUUUCUAUCUUCUUUGAUGUUGUGAAAAUUUGAUAUAAAUAAAAGAUUGGUGUGUAAAAUGUAAAAGCACUAACCAAAUUUACAAGGCCUAGACCCAACUUGUCACUACACUGAAAUAAUAGGAUAACUUAAAGUAAUAAACACAAUAGGGCAUUCUUAUAACAAUCUCAUCCUCACCAUUUAAGAUGGUUAUCUUAGACUAUGGGGUAUGGGGCUUGGGUUGGGGCCCCUAUUAGACUCCAUCUGAAUUUGGAAUCUACCUCAUUUCACUGAAACAAAAUAAGAGAAUGUGCUUAACAAUUUCAUCCAGCUAGCUUAUUAUGAGAGUUUGAUAUUUAAUAUAGCUAAAGCCUUGAAGGCUAGAUUAAACUUAUUUACCUAUAUUUCUUGACUUCAAAAGUCGACCCUAUUGUAGUGGCAUAUUAUACCUCCAUGAAUGUGAUCUAGCCAGAAACCUAACAAAAAAACAGAAACCCUAAACCAACGAAAUAACUAAAAAAACAACAAAUUGGAUUAAAAAAAGAGAACUAUUACAAGUGUUGAAGGGUCCCAGAUGAAUUCAUACGAAUCUGCAAGAUUAAUUAGAGCAAGUUCGUUAAACUGAGCAGAACCACCUAAAGAAGAAGAAAUCAAACCUGGAAUCACUUGAACUUUUAAAUCGAACCUGAGAAUCACCUAAACAUCUUCAAAUCAAGCCAUUAAACAUUAUCUACUUCUUGAUCUAGGAGAGAUAGAGAGGAGAAUGUGUUGGUGUGAGUUUGAGUUUCAAAACCCAGGUUU